rnacentral:rRNA from 1 species
AAAGUGGCGAAAGGGUGAGUAAUGCGUAGAUAACCUACCCUCGAGUUCGGGAAAACAGUUCGAAAGGGCUGCUAAUACCGGAUGGCGCGCGGAUGGCCUCGGCCGUCCGAGCCAAAGGUGGGGACCUUCGGGCCUACCGCUCGUGGAGGGGUCUACGUCCUAUUAGCUUGUUGGUGGGGUAAUGGCCUACCAAGGUUACGAUGGGUAGCCGGCCUGAGAGGGUGUCCGGCCACACUGGGACUGAGACACUGCCCAG